GUCCUCGAGAAAAUGCGCGCCGGCCCUUUUCCACCCCCCUUCACACCCCUCCCCGAGCCCCAACACUUUGCGUUGCAACACCGCCACCCGAUAGGCUGCAUCUGCUAAGGGGGCGUGGCCUCGUCGCACAUGUCGCUCAGCGUUCCGGAUGCCGACCAUCUGGGAUUUCAUUUCACUCGCCGCGCGCGUGCCGACUAAUGUUGACAUUUUGUUUUCCAGACGCGACGUCGUUCCCGUAGGAAGGACGACAUCCAACCACGUCGCUCGCCACUCCACCUGGAUGCUGCCCAGGGCCCAGUGCGGAUGCCAGUGCAACAAAUUAAGGACAAAAGUGGCGCUAUGCCAACCCCCCCCCAAAAAAGAGAA